ACCUGGGUGGCUCAGUGGUUGAGCAUCUGCCUUCAGCUCAGGUCGCAAUUCCGGGGUCCUGGGAUCGAAUCCCACCUUGGGCU
rnacentral:tRNA from 1 species